AUUGAACGCUGGCGGCAGGCCUAACACAUGCAAGUCGAGCGGAUGACGGGAGCUUGCUCCUUGAUUCGGCGGCGGACGGGUGAGUAAUGCCUAGGAAUCUGCCUGGUAGUGGGGGACAACGUUUCGAAAGGAACGCUAAUACCGCAUACGUCCUACGGGAGAAAGCAGGGGACCUUCGGGCCUUGCGCUAUCAGAUGAGCCUAGGUCGGAUUAGCUAGUUGGUGGGGUAAUGGCUCACCAGGGCGACGAUCCGUAACUGGUCUGAGAGGAUGAUCAGUCACACUGGAACUGAGACACGGUCCAGACUCCUACGGGAGGCAGCAGUGGGGAAUAUUGGACAAUGGGCGAAAGCCUGAUCCAGCCAUGCCGCGUGUGUGAAGAAGGUCUUCGGAUUGUAAAGCACUUUAAGUUGGGAGGAAGGGCAGUAAGUUAAUACCUUGCUGUUUUGACGUUACCGACAGAAUAAGCACCGGCUAACUCUGUGCCAGCCGCCGCCGUAAAAC
rnacentral:rRNA from 1 species